rnacentral:rRNA from 1 species
UACAGAGGUGGCAAGCGUUGUUCGGAAUUACUGGGCGUAAAGGGCGCGUAGGCGGCCUUCUAAGUCAGACGUGAAAUCCCCCGGCUUAACCUGGGAACUGCGUCUGAUACUGGAGGGCUUGAGUGCGGGAGAGGGAUGUGGAAUUCCAGGUGUAGCGGUGAAAUGCGUAGAUAUCUGGAGGAACACCGGUGGCGAAGGCGGCAUCCUGGACCGACACUGACGCUGAGGCGCGAAAGCGAGGGUAGCAAACGGG